rfam:Dipodomys ordii contig_22899, whole genome shotgun sequence.
GGUGACUCAGUAGUAGAGUACUUGCCUCAAAUGCAUGAGGCCCUGAGUUUGAUUUCCUCAGCACCA